rnacentral:tRNA from 1 species
GGCACAUUAGCUCAGCUGGUUAGAGCUGCAGUGACUGUAUCAGGCUGCGUAAGCGUGGGUUCGAGUCCCACAUGGGCCA